AAAUAACUAUAAGUAGAUUAGAAGAGAUUACCCAAGGUGCGUUGGGUUAGUGGUUUAGUGCUUGGAGUAGGUUCCAUUGCACCCCUAGUUCGAUUCCCAUGGGGAGGGGUGCUUUACGCCAUGUUAUCGGUAUCACCCCGAACCCAUCCUGGUUUAAAAAAAUGUAGAUUAGAAGAGAAAGAGGUUUAUGAAAAAAUAAAUUCAACAUGA
rnacentral:lncRNA from 1 species